rnacentral:rRNA from 1 species
GAUGAACGCUGGCGGCGUGCCUAAUACAUGCAAGUCGAGCGAACAGACGAGGUGCUUGCUCCUCUGACGUUAGCGGCGCACGGGUGAGUAACACGUGGAUAACCUACCUAUCAGACUGGGAUAACUUCGGGAAACCGGAGCUAAUACCGGAUAAUAUAUUGAACCGCAUGGUUCAAUAGUGACAGACGGUUUUGCUGUCACUUAUAGAUCGUUCCGGGCCGCAUUAGAGAGUUGGUAAGGUAACGGCUUACCAAGACAACGAUGCGUAGCCGAACUGAGAGGGUGAUCAGCCACACUGGAACUGAGACAAGGUCCAGACUCGUACGGGAGGCAGCAGUAGGGAAUCUUCCGCAAUGGGCGAAAGCGUGACGGAGCAACGCCGCGUGAGUGAUGAAGGUCUUCGGAGCGUAAAACUCGGUUAUUAGGGAAGAACAAAUGUGUAAGUAACUAUGCACGUCUUGACGGUACCUAAUGAGAAAGCCACGGCUAACUACGUG